rnacentral:rRNA from 1 species
GACGAACGCUGGCGGCGUGCUUAACACAUGCAAGUCGAACGGAAAGGCCCUGCUUUUGUGGGGUGCUCGAGUGGCGAACGGGUGAGUAACACGUGAGUAACCUGCCCUUGACUUUGGGAUAACUUCAGGAAACUGGGGCUAAUACCGGAUAGGAGCUCCUGCUGCAUGGUGGGGGUUGGAAAGUUUCGGCGGUUGGGGAUGGACUCGCGGCUUAUCAGCUUGCUGGUGGGGUAGUGGCUUACCAAGGCUUUGACGGGUAGCCGGCCUGAGAGGGUGACCGGCGACAUUGGGACUGAGGGACGGCCCAGACUCCUACGGGAGGCAGCAGUGGGGAAUAGUGCACAAUGGGCGGAAGCCUGAUGCAGCAACGCCGCGUGCGGGAUAACGGCCUUCGGGGUGUAAACCGCUUUCGCCUGUAACGAAGCGUGAGUGACGGUAAUGGGUAAAGAAGCACCGGCUAACUACGUG